rnacentral:lncRNA from 10 species
UGAGUGCUGUCACCUCUAAAGCCCUUCAAGUGUGUUGGAAAUGGGUAUUCAAUGUCGCAGAAAUCAACCCUAAGACAAAGGAUCUCUCAGCAAGGCUAAUUUACUUUCUGCAGAAAGGGUGCUACUCGCUAGCAGUUUUGCCAGAGAGCACACACAAAAGAGACAGGGUCAUUUAUAGUCUGACACGUCCACCCUAUGGCUGUGUCCAGUUUCCAUUGGCUGGAAUGGGACCUCACAUUCUGUACUUGUCCUGAUUGGCUAGCAACUUAGAACAUCCCAAAAGAGACAUACAUAGAGGAGAACAAAGGAAAGGAGGAAGUAACUUGUGGAAUGCUGAGAAAGGCAAAAACACCUCCAAAUAAGGAAGAGGAACAGGCUAUGACCUAAUGCUUUCUUGGGCCUGUACAGACUGCGAGGAAAGUCCCUUUGAAGAGGAACCUCUACUUCAUUUUCUACAGAGUGGGACAGAGGUGCUGGUGGAAGACAGUGAUAUUGAUGAUCCUGACCCUGUGUAGGCCUGGCUAAUGUGUGUGUUUGUGUCUUGUUUUUAACAAAAAAGUUUAAAAA